rnacentral:sRNA from 1 species
CCGCACUGUGGCUGUCACCAAGAGCCAGUUCCUCAUCAAUGGGAAACCUUUCUACUUCCACGGCGUCAACAAGCAUGAGGAUGCGGACGUGUGUUGGGGCUCCUGGGUCCUUGUGGGGGCUGCUUCUGGUCACCCUCCACUUUCGCCUUCCCUGUGUCCUGCAGUUGAGGGCAGCUCAGGGCAAUGAGGCAAAUGGCUCCAAAUGGAGAGGGGGCUCAUGGGGUGGCUCUCCAGGGUCCUGGCUCUCAGAGGAAGUGCAGCUUUGACAGGGACAGGGGUCACUUGGCUCUGCUAUCCCCUAGAUCCGAGGGAAGGGCUUCGACUGGCCGCUGCUGGUGAAGGACUUCAACCUGCUUCGCUGGCUUGGUGCCAACGCUUUCCGUACCAGCCACUACCCCUAUGCAGAGGAAGUGAUGCAGAUGUGUGACCGCUAUGGGAUUGUGGUCAUCGAUGAGUGUCCCGGCGUGGGCCUGGCGCUGCCGCAGUUCUUCAACAACGUUUCUCUGCAUCACCACAUGC